rnacentral:lncRNA from 1 species
AAGAUAUUUGUGUCUCUUUAAUUAUUUUUUUCCAGUUUAUUUUGUAUUUUACAUAUUAAUGUGUUAUUGUUAGAUAAAAUAUAAAUGGACUUUUAACCCUGAAAAAAAGUGCUUUUUUAUUAUAUUUUUAAAUCCUACUAAUUGCAUUCUUUUGAUUAACUGGAAGAAAAAGACAAUUUUAGUUUAGACAAUCACAUAAAUACAAAUAUUUCUUUUUUUUUUCUUUUGAAAAUUUUUUUUUUUUUUUUUUUUUUUUUUUUUUUUUUGGAGAUGGGGUUUUGCCUUGUUGCCCAGGCUGGUCUUGAACUCCUGAGCUGAAGCUAUUCACCUGCCUCGGCCUCCCAAAGUGCUGGGAUUACAGGUGUCAGCUGCCAAGCCCAGCCCAUUCAUAAUUGUUUUAAACAUUCUGUUUUCAUAGCCUCCAUAUAACAGGAAAAUGAUGGGUGCACUUUUUGCUUAUUUAUUCAAAUGAUGAGUAUUUGUUGGGCACACACCCACCUCAGGCACUGUUUGGGGACUAUGAAGUUGUAAUCACUGAACAAAAACACGUUCCCUACCCUCGUGGUGCUUACCUUUUGGUAAAAUACAUGUGCAAAUGAAUAACCAGAAAGAUAAUUGCCUUACAAUUCUGACAGAGAUAAUUGGCAAAA